rnacentral:rRNA from 1 species
GACGAACGCUGGCGGCGUGCUUAACACAUGCAAGUCGAACGGAAAGGCCCUGCUUUUGUGGGGUGCUCGAGUGGCGAACGGGUGAGUAACACGUGAGUAACCUGCCCUUGACUUUGGGAUAACUUCAGGAAACUGGGGCUAAUACCGGAUAGGAGCUCCUGCUGCUUGGUGGGGGUUGGAUAGUUUCGGCGGUUGGGGAUGGACUCGCGGCUUAUCAGCUUGUUGGUGGGGUAGUGGCUUACCAAGGCUUUGCCGGGUAGCCGGCCUGCGAGGGUAACCGGCCACAUUGGGACGGGGAUACGGCCCAGACUCGUACGGGAGGCAGCAGAGGGGAAUAGUGCACAGUGGGCGGAGGCAUGAUGCAGCAACGCAGCGUGCGGGAUGACGGCCUGCGGGUUGUAAUCCGCUUUCGCCUGUGACGAAGCGUGAGUGACGGUAAUGGGUAAAGAAGCUCCGGCUAACUACGUG